CAUCAUAUGGCACUGUUAGGGCUGUGGCCGUAUUUUGGUAAUGUUGUGUUUGUCGUUUUGAAUUGUUUUGUUGUCUGGGAGUGGGUGUUCUGUGUUUGUCUGUAGAUCUUUCUCUCGUCCUUGUUUUCUGUGUAAGUGGUCUGUUCGUCCUGUUGGUUUGUAGUGGGUGUUGUGUUUGUCUGUGGAUCUUUGUGUGCAGGAGCUGAUUGGUGGCAAGGCGGACCUAGCGCUGAUUGGCUGUAAACCAUUUUAAAUCUUGGCAGCUGGCAGUGAUGAGGGGAGCCUCUCUGACAGCAGCACCCUUUGUUUUUUCCCAGACUCCAGACUUUUGCCUUGAUACCCGUGUUUUUUGGUUAGAUUAAGAUAGUGUGUUUUUUGUUUGUUAGACUUGGGUUUAUUUUUGUAGAAGUUGUGGUUUUGUUGGAUAGGAUCUUUUGUUUGAGUGCUAAAAUGCCUCUUUAGUUUGUAUGCAAUUAUUUUGUGUUUUUUUGCUUGAAUGAAUAGCCCAUGUGGUGGCCUCUUUGAUUUGUAGAAGAUCUUUUGUAAUUUUUCAAGGGAACUGUUCAUCAUUUUUUGGGGACUGGGAAAAUAUUCCACCUUAUUUUUUUUAUUUUUUUAAAAAAAACAAACAUUAUGCUGCGCACCUUCCCCCUAGACAGGUGCGUAACAGGCACGUUUUUACAACAUGUUGAAAAAUCGCUUUUUUUUUUUCGACAUAGUAUAGUAAGGCGUUUUUUUUGCGCCAAAAUUCAUUAUGAUUUUUUUUUUCAAAGAAAACCUUUCUGGAGUGUUUUUCACGGCCUCCUUUACAUUAUUUCAUCAUGUGACACAUUUUGACAACAUGUUGAAAAUCGCAUUUUUUUUCGACAUAGUAUAGUAAGGCGUUUUUUUUGCGCCAAAAUUCAUGUUGAUUCUUUUUUCAAAGAAAACCUUUCUGGAGUGUUUUUCACGCCCUCCUUUACAUUAUUUCAUCAUAUGGCACAUUUUUACAACAUGUUUGAAAAAUCGCAUUUUUUUUCGACAUAGUAUAGUAAG
ensembl:lncRNA